rnacentral:rRNA from 1 species
UACAGAGGGUGCAAGCGUUGUUCGGAAUUAUUGGGCGUAAAGCGCGCGCAGGCGGUCCUUUAAGUCUGAUGUGAAAUCCCGUGGCUUAACCACGGGCGGUCAUUGGAAACUGGGGGACUUGAGUGCAGAAGAGAAGAGCGGAAUUCCACGUGUAGCGGUGAAAUGCGUAGAGAUGUGGAGGAACACCAGUGGCGAAGGCGGCUCUUUGGUCUGUAACUGACGCUGAGGCGCGAAAGCGUGGGGAGCAAACAGG